ACUUAAAUUGAAGAGUUUGAUCAUGGCUCAGAUUGAACGCUGGCGGCAGGCCUAACACAUGCAAGUCGAACGGUAGCACAGAGAGCUUGCUCUCGGGUGACGAGUGGCGGACGGGUGAGUAAUGUCUGGGAAACUGCCUGAUGGAGGGGGAUAACUACUGGAAACGGUGGCUAAUACCGCAUAACGUCGCAAGACCAAAGAGGGGGACCUUCGGGCCUCUUGCCAUCAGAUGUGCCCAGAUGGGAUUAGCUUGUUGGUGAGGUAACGGCUCACCAAGGCGACGAUCCCUAGCUGGUCUGAGAGGAUGACCAGCCACACUGGAACUGAGACACGGUCCAGACUCCUACGGGAGGCAGCAGUGGGGAAUAUUGCACAAUGGGCGCAAGCCUGAUGCAGCCAUGCCGCGUGUAUGAAGAAGGCCUUCGGGUUGUAAAGUACUUUCAGCGAGGAGGAAGGCGUUGUGGUUAAUAACCACAGCGAUUGACGUUACUCGCAGAAGAAGCACCGGCUAACUCCGUGCCAGCAGCCGCGGUAAUACGGAGGGUGCAAGCGUUAAUCGGAAUUACUGGGCGUAAAGCGCACGCAGGCGGUUUGUUAAGUCAGAUGUGAAAUCCCCGGGCUCAACCUGGGAACUGCAUUUGAAACUGGCAAGCUUGAGUCUCGUAGAGGGGGGUAGAAUUCCAGGUGUAGCGGUGAAAUGCGUAGAGAUCUGGAGGAAUACCGGUGGCGAAGGCGGCCCCC
rnacentral:rRNA from 1 species